rnacentral:misc_RNA from 1 species
UCUUAAUCGUGCUGCUGAACUUAAGUAUGGGAGUCUAAACACCUUGCAGCGUCAACUUGAAGCUUCAGAAAAAGAACUGAGUGAUUAUAUGAAGUCUGGAAAAUCGAUGCUCAGAGAAGAAGUAACUGGGAAUGAUAUUGCAGAGAUUGUCAGUAAGUGGACUGGGAUUCCUGUUUCUAAGCUACAACAGUCGGAGAGGGAAAAGCUGUUGCAUUUAGAGGAAGAGUUGCACAAACGUGUUGUUGGUCAAGAUCCAGCAGUAAGAGCAGUAGCAGAGGCAAUCCAGCGCUCGCGUGCUGGACUUUCAGAUCCUCAUCGUCCUAUUGCAAGCUUUAUGUUCAUGGGUCCCACUGGAGUUGGAAAGACGGAGUUAGCUAAGGCCCUUGCUAACUAUUUGUUCAAUACUGAAGAGGCACUUGUGCGCAUCGAUAUGAGUGAAUACAUGGAGAAGCAUGCAGUUUCAAGAUUGAUAGGAGCUCCCCCUGGUUAUGUCGGGUAUGAAGAAGGGGGGCAGUUGACAGAGAUUGUUCGCCGAAGACCUUAUGCAGUUAUAUUGUUUGAUGAAAUUGAGAAGGCCCAUUCGGAUGUAUUUAAUGUGUUCCUGCAAAUCUUAGAUGAUGGUAGGGUGACCGACUCGCAAGGACGCACAGUGAGUUUCACCAAUACUGUCAUCAUCAUGACAUCAAAUGUUGGUUCACAAUAUAUCCUAAAUACAGAUGAUAAUGAUGAUGAUUCAUUGAAGGAAGCGACUUAUCAAACAAUAAAGCAAAGGGUGAUGGAUGCUGCACGUGCAGUUUUCCGCCCUGAGUUCAUGAACCGGGUUGAUGAAUAUAUAGUAUUCCAGCCUCUUGAUCGUGACCAGAUCAGUAGCAUUGUGCGAUUACAGCUUGAAAGAGUGCAGCAGAGAUUAGCUGAUCGUAAAAUGAAGAUUCAAGUGAGUGAAGCUGCUAUUCAAUUGCUUGGAAGUCUUGGUUAUGACCCCAACUAUGGAGCACGGCCAGUGAAGCGGGUGAUCCAGCAGAAUGUUGAGAACGAAUUGGCCAAAGGAAUAUUAAGAGGAGAAUUCAAGGAUGAGGAUACUAUUUUAGUAGACACGGAGGUCAGCGCAUUUUCGAAUGGACAACUUCCUCAGCAGAAGCUAGUGUUUAAAAGACAAGAGUCUGGUUCAGAUUCUCCAGCUGAGAACCAAGAAGCUUUCUCUCAGAAACUAUGAGACUACACCUCAACAUCUUGUUUAGACACAUACUAUGAUUUCGAGCAUCGAACUAGUAGUAGCUCUUGUAUCUAGAUUAUGGAUAUACAUAUUUCACGGCUUUGAAUAGCAAAUACCUACACAGUUGAACAGUGUGGAGUUCUGUUUUCG